rnacentral:rRNA from 1 species
GAUGAACGCUGGCGGCAGGCCUAACACAUGCAAGUCGAGCGAGCGGCGGACGGGUGAGUAAUGUCUGGGAAACUGCCUGAUGGAGGGGGAUAACUACUGGAAACGGUAGCUAAUACAGCAUACCAUCAGAUGUGCCCAGAUUGGAUUAGCUAGUAGGUGGGGGAACGGCUCACCUAGGCGACGAUCCCUAGCGGGUCUGAGAGGAUGAACAGCCACACUGGAACUGAUACACGGUCCAGACUCCUACGUGAGGCAGCAGUGGGGAAUAUUGCACAAUGGGCGCAAGCCUGAUGCAGCCAUGCCGCGUGUAUGAAGAAGGCCUUCGGGUUGUAAAGUACUUUCAGCGGGGAGGCGUUACCCGCAGAAGAAGCACCGGCUAACUCCGUGCCAGCAGCCGCGGUAAUUC